rnacentral:rRNA from 1 species
AGAGUUUGAUCAUGGCUCAGAGUGAACGCUGGCGGCAGGCCUAAUACAUGCAAGUCGAACGGCAGCACAGCAGAGCUUGCUCUGUGGGUGGCGAGUGGCGGACGGGUGAGGAAUACGUGGGAAUCUGCCCAGUCGUGGGGGAUAACGUAGGGAAACUUACGCUAAUACCGCGUGCGCCCUUCGGGGGAAAGCCGGGGACCUUCGGGCCUGGCGCGAUUGGAUGAGCCCACGUCGGAUUAGCUAGUUGGCGGGGUAAAGGCCCACCAAGGCGACGAUCCGUAGCUGGUCUGAGAGGAUGAUCAGCCACACUGGAACUGAGACACGGUCCAGACUCCUACGGGAGGCAGCAGUAGGGAAUAUUGGACAAUGGGCGCAAGCCUGAUCCAGCCAUGCCGCGUGAGUGAAGAAGGCCCUCGGGUUGUAAAGCUCUUUUGUCCGGAAAGAAAAGCGCCGGGUUAAUACCCUGGUGUCCUGACGGUACCGGAAGAAUAAGCACCGGCUAACUUCGUG